rnacentral:rRNA from 1 species
AUUGAACGCUGGCGGAAUGCUUUACACAUGCAAGUCGAACGGUAACAGGUUAAGCUGACGAGUGGCGAACGGGUGAGUAAUGCAUCGGAACGUGCCCGGUCGUGGGGGAUAACGCAGCGAAAGCUGCGCUAAUACCGCAUACGAUCUAAGGAUGAAAGCGGGGGACCGUAAGGCCUCGCGCGAUCGGAGCGGCCGAUGUCAGAUUAGGUAGUUGGUGGGGUAAGGGCUCACCAAGCCAACGAUCUGUAGCUGGUCUGAGAGGACGACCAGCCACACUGGGACUGAGACACGGCCCAGACUCCUACGGGAGGCAGCAGUGGGGAAUUUUGGACAAUGGGCGAAAGCCUGAUCCAGCAAUGCCGCGUGCAGGAAGAAGGCCUUCGGGUUGUAAACUGCUUUUGUACGGAGCGAAAAGGUCUCCUCUAAUACAGGGGGCUCAUGACGGUACCGUAAGAAUAAGCACCGGCUAACUACGUGCCAGCAGCCGCCGUAA